rnacentral:rRNA from 1 species
GGGCGGGGGCACGGGGGGAACGCGAAGAACCUUACCAGGUCUUGACAUCCUUCUGACCGCACCUUAAUCGGUGCUUUCCUUCGGGACAGAAGAGACAGGUGGUGCAUGGUUGUCGUCAGCUCGUGUCGUGAGAUGUUGGGUUAAGUCCCGCAACGAGCGCAACCCCUAUCUUCAGUAGCCAGCAGGUAAGGCUGGGCACUCUGGAGAGACUGCCAGGGAUAACCUGGAGGAAGGUGGGGACGACGUCAAAUCAUCAUGCCCCUUAUGAUCUGGGCGACACACGUGCUACAAUGGCGGUCACAGAGUGAGGCGAACCCGCGAGGGGGAGCAAACCACAAAAAGGCCGUCCAAGGUCGGACUGUAGUCUGCAACCCGACUACAGGAAGCGGAAUCG